AUUGAACGCUGGCGGCAGGCCUAACACAUGCAAGUCGAGCGAGCGGCGGACGGGUGAGUACUGUAUGGGGAUCUGCCCGAUAGAGGGGGAUAACUACUGGAACCGUUGGCUAAUACCGCAUACUAUCGGCUGACCCCAUUUGGGAUUAGCUAGUAGGUGGGGUAAAGGCUCACCUCGUAGACGAUCUCUAGCUGGUCUGAGAGGAUGAUCAGCCACACGGGGACUGAGACACGGCCCAGACUCCUACGGGAGGCAGCAGUGGGGAAUAUUGCACAAUGGGAGAAAGCCUGAUGCAGCCAAGCCGCGUGUAUGAAGAAGGCCGUAGGGUUGUAAAGUACUUUCAGCGGGGAGGCGUUACCCGCAGAAGAAGCACCGGCUAACUCCGUGCCAGCAGCCGCGGUAAUAC
rnacentral:rRNA from 1 species